ensembl:lncRNA
GUUUAAGUCAGGCGGAGAACAUCGGAAGUUUGCGAAGUAAACGCUCAGUAGCCUAAACGCUGUCAUUUAACCAAGCCUUUGUCUGUUUGUUGGAUUUCACUGAUUUACGGAUAUACUGCCUGUUUCGGAUUCCGAUUUCCUGGCUAGCCCCGUUUGGAUUGUUCGCCUGGACUUCGUCUGUUUUUUCGGAUCUCGUCUUCAAUUUGAUCCUCAUCUUCCUGUUACUGCACCGCCCGUGCUUGUCUCCUCACGAGGCAAAGCAAACCAAGAUCAAAAAGACAGCCAGGGACCAGAUGUUACAAAACCUAAAGACUUCCCUUUCUCAGAACAGGACCCUAGCCACACAAUAUCACCACACCAGUUCUGAGGAUGAAUUUCCACAACGUCAUGGUUUCUGAUGAUGCCACAAACAUGGGGAGCCCACAACAUCCUGGCAUUGGCAAUGAUUCAGAUAAAGAGUUAGGUUUAUCCUCAAACCAGAGUACUGUUAAAUACAGUGUAUGUGAGUGCACACCUGUGUAAUAACAAAUAUAAGAAAAUCCAUCCAUCCACCCAUCUUCUACCGCUUACUACUUCUUCAG